ACUUCCCGCGAGUGUGCCACGUCAGAGGAGGUUGUAGCCGAGCCGGAGACGGAUCCCCGGGUCGGAGCUGUACGGGAUGGCGGACUGGGCUCGGGCUCAGAGCUCCGGCGCUGUGGAGGAGAUUCUAGACCGGGAGAACAAGCGGAUGGCUGACAGCCUGGCCUCCAAGGUCACCAGGCUCAAAUCGGUCAGUGGUAGUCCUCUCCUUUUGCCUCCACCUAGCAUCCUGGAGGGGGUAUCGGAGGGAGGGUGAAGACCUGGAAGGGUUUCAGGUAGUUCCAUCAUCCUUGUCCCAUCUGUGGCACACUCACUUGUGUGCGGCCCAGGUGGCAUUUGGAUCUCCUGACCUCUGCUGGUCUUGCUGGGGGUCAGGUGCUGUCCGCUGUGUUUGUCCUGGCCUGACCCUGCCUCUUCUGUGUUCUGACCAGCUGGCCCUGGACAUUGAUAGGGACGUGGAAGAGCAGAACCAGAGCCUGGGCGGCAUGGUAAGGCCCGUGUUUUGCGAGUGUCACGGUCACCUCUGCUCCCCACCGCCUGCUGUGCAGCCCCCACGUGUGUGUGUGUUGUGGGGUCGCUGCCCCUGUGUGACGAUGAUGGGAUUCCUUCCUCAGGACACAGAUUUCACGAGUGUGACGGGCCUCCUCACAGGGAGCGUGAAGCGCUUUUCCACAAUGGCACGGUCUGGGCGAGACAACCGGAAGCUUCUGUGUGGUAUGGCCGUGGGCCUGAUCGUGGUCUUCUUCAUCCUCUCCUACCUCCUGUCGAGGCCAAGGACGUGAGCCAGUGGGAGCUGGCUUCUGCGGGUGCCUCGGGCAAGCAUGGUCCGCCUCUGCCUGGCGUCCCGGGCCAGAGAACUUAACGACAAAAUACUCCUUUGAAACGACGAUUGUGGCUUAGGAAUCUUGUUCCUGUGUGGCUGGGAGCCUCUGACCCAGUGAGCUUGUGUUAGCUGGUCCCAUGUGUGCAAGGGGCCCAUCUUCAUGGGGUAGCCAAGGCCCACUUUCUCUGCCACCUUGGGUGCUAGAAGCCCCAGCAGAGUAAGGUCCAAGCAGAGCAGCUGGGAAUCCUGGACACGGUCACCUGUGAACAGCAGCUCUUCCCCUGGCCCUCGAGUUUCUGAACAUCUCAAGGCUCUUCUACGCUGUUCUUGUCUGGAUAAGGCCACGUCUGGUAUUUGAGAUGCUUGGAGCUGACGUGGGAAGGGGGUGUGGCGGUGAACCUCAGAUCAUCGCUGUCACCUUCAGCCGAGUGUUCUCAACCAGAGAUGGCAGUUGCUCCUGCCCAGAGCCGCUGGGCAUCCGUGGACCAGUGGAGUCAAGGGUCCUGCCGAGAGGCCUCUUCCUGCCUUCCAGUCCCACAACUGAAGCCCGACCCUCAGGAAGGGCAGGGGUUGUGGAUGGAGUUGGGAACUGCAGCCUUCGCUGAAAGCAUGGGCUCACAUUCUGGUGAUCUCCCGGCCAUGUAUCCAGGUGCAGAAAGUGAUACUUUCUCACGAUUCAAGAUCUACCCAGAGCACCAGAGAUCUACUUCCAGGAGACCAGAUCUCUGGAAACAAGUCCAUCUGGCAUUUCAGAGUCAGGCAGGGUGUGAGGAGGGACUUUCGUGGGUAUAGAUGGAGGCUUCCAAGUAAGGGCUCUUCAUAGGACCUGUAGGUCAGUUUCUGAGGGUCAGCGAGCAGUUCCCACCAAGCCUGGCCCUUCCACUGUGGUGUUUGCCCACCUCUCCCUGGGCCCUCAGCGCCCACUCGGUCAGUCCCCUGCUCACAUCGAACCUCGAACUGAACCACAGGCCGAGCCAGACCAGUGGCUUCUUACCCCACUGAGACCUCAGUAUCCUUGUCUUCACAAGAAACACUUGUAAGAAACGAGUCACCGGCUGUGUCCUUCCCUACCCUUGUUCGAACCUUCUGGUUCCUAGUCAGCCCCCCUUACUCCUGAGGGCUACUGGCUCACCGUCCGCCUCCCCACACGCUCGUGCCACGCGCGGUCACGCGCGCCAGCCGCAUCUGCUGCCCCAUGUUGCUGGUCUCUGGCCCCGGGCACCGCGCCUCUGGUGCCGCUGCUGCGCCUGCCCUCGUCCUCCGCCCAGCAGGCUGGCUUCACCUUGCACGCUUGCCUUGGUGCCCUCCCUUCCACUGUACCUGCGACCUGAGUGCGCCGUCUCGUCCAGUGUGUGCUUGUGUCUCCCCCGGUGAGACUGCCUUGCUUGUCUCCGUGUCUCUGGGGCUUGGCUGUUUCCCUGUCCUCCUGGACGUUCCUUCGCAGGUCUCUGGCCCUGCCUUGACCCCCAGCGCCCUGUGCGCUGCGGCUUUGGCUUCGCCUGCUUCUCGUCUCACACUGAACCUUGUCGCGGGCCUUUGUCCUCCGGUCACCAGGCUCAACAGCUGCUGCCUGUGCAGUGUCUCCCUCUGGUUGCCGCAGGCCCUGCAGAUGCGCCCAGACCUGAGGUCCGCGGCCCCCACCUUGUCUGGGCCUGCUAACCUUGCUUCCUGAGAACGUGGCUCAGCCGUGGCAGCCUUCCCCCCGCAGAUGCUUUUAUGUGGUGUGCCCCCUUGUCUUGCCAAGGCAGCCAGGAAUUUAGAGUUUGCCUUCAGGGUGGCACCCCGGCUGCUGUGUUCUCUCCUCAGGUCUCCGUCUGUGCCUCCCCACUUCUCCACCUCCACGGCUCUUUGCAGCCCUUCCAGCUAUUUGGGGGUCUGGGCUCUAGUUUCUUUCUGGUUUACUUUCUUGCUUCCUACUCUCAUCGUGUUAGGUGAAUUCCUGAAGGAAGCACGGCACCCCUGCUGCCGCUGUGUCGGCAGGGUUUCCUGUGGGGCCUUCCCUGCUCAGCCCUGUACACUGAGCACCUAAUCCUGUGGGUAAGUGGGGUUUGCCGAGGUUGAUCCCUGAGACCAUAAAACAGAAGGACUUGGAGCCUCCCUCUGUGCCAGGUGAGGAUGAACUGCCAGGUUCUAUCCCAUAAUUCAUGGACAACACAUUUAGCAAUAAAAAUUUGGAAUAAAGAGCUUCGUGAUGAAGU
rnacentral:lncRNA from 1 species